rnacentral:rRNA from 1 species
AGUAGCAAUACUGCCGGCGACCGGCGCAAGGGUGCGUAACGCGUGAGCAACAUGCCCGUAUCAGGGGGGAUAAUCCAUGGAAACGUGGUCUAAUACCCCAUAGUAAUUAUGUAAGGCAUCUUAUAGAAUUUAAAGCUUUGGUGGAUACGGAUUGGCUCGCGUGACAUUAGCUGGAUGGUAAGUAACGGCUUACCAUGGCUACGAUGUCUAGGGGUUCUGAGAGGAAGGUCCCCCCACACUGGAACUGAGACACGGUCCAGACUCCUACGGGAGGCAGCAGUGAGGAAUAUUGGACAAUGGAUGGAAAUCUGAUCCAGCCAUGCCGCGUGCAGGAAGAACCGGCCCUAUGGGUUGUAAACUGCUUUUGUAUGGGAGCAAUAAGGGCUACGUGUAGUCCGAUGAGAGUACCAUACGAAUAAGCACCGGCUAACUCCGUGCCAGCAGCAGC